CCUACGGGGGGCAGCAGUGGGGAAUAUUGGACAAUGGGGGCAACCCUGAUCCAGCAAUGCCGCGUGUGUGAAGAAGGCCUGAGGGUUGUAAAGCACUUUCAGUGGGGAGGAGGGUUGAUAGGUUAAGAGCUGAUUGACUGGACGUUACCCACAGAAGAAGCACCGGCUAACUCCGUGCCAGCAGCCGCGGUAAUACGGAGGGUGCGAGCGUUAAUCGGAAUUACUGGGCGUAAAGGGUGCGUAGGUGGUUAGAUAAGUUAUCUGUGAAAUCCCUGGGCUUAACCUGGGCAGGUCAGAUAAGACUGUUUGACUCGAGUAUUGGAGAGGGUAGUGGAAUUUCCGGUGUAGCGGUGAAAUGCGUAGAGAUCGGAAGGAACACCAGUGGCGAAGGCGGCUACCUGGCCAGAUACUGACACUGAGGCACGAAAGCGUGGGGAGCAAACAGGAUUAGAUACCCCUGUAGUC
rnacentral:rRNA from 1 species